GUAGUCCACGCCCUAAACGAUGUCAACUAGGUGUUGGGUGGGUAAAACCAUUUAGUACCGGAGCUAACGCGUGAAGUUGACCGCCUGGGGAGUACGGCCGCAAGGUUAAAACUCAAAGGAAUUGACGGGGACCCGCACAAGCGGUGGAUGAUGUGGAUUAAUUCGAUGCAACGCGAAAAACCUUACCUACCCUUGACAUGUUCGGAAUCCUGAAGAGAUUUGGGAGUGCUCGAAAGAGAGCCGGAACACAGGUGCUGCAUGGCUGUCGUCAGCUCGUGUCGUGAGAUGUUGGGUUAAGUCCCGCAACGAGCGCAACCCUUGUCGUUAAUUGCCAUCAUUUAGUUGGGCACUUUAACGAGACUGCCGGUGACAAACCGGA
rnacentral:rRNA from 1 species